rnacentral:rRNA from 1 species
GAUGAACGCUGGCGGCGUGCCUAAUACAUGCAAGUCGAGCGAAUGGAUUAAGAGCUUGCUCUUAUGAAGUUAGCGGCGGACGGGUGAGUAACACGUGGGUAACCUGCCCAUAAGACUGGGAUAACUCCGGGAAACCGGGGCUAAUACCGGAUAAUAUUUUGAACUGCAUGGUUCAAAAUUGAAAGGCGGCUUCGGCUGUCACUAAUGGAUGGACCCGCGUCGCAUUAGCUAGUUGGUGAGGUAACGGCUCACCAAGGCAACGAUGCGUAGCCGACCUGGGAGGGUGAGCCGCCACACUGUGACUGAGACACGGCCCAUCACCCCACAGGAGGCAGCAGUCUGGAAUCUUCCGCAAUGGACGAAAGUCUGACGGAGCAACGCCGCGUGAGUGAUGAAGGCUUUCGGGUCGUAAAACUCUGUUGUUAGGGAAGAACAAGUGCUAGUUGAAUAAGCUGGCACCUUGACGGUACCUAACCAGAAAGCCACGGCUAACUACGUGCCAGCCGCCGCGGUAA